CACCGCCAUCAUGCUGCUGCUUCCCUUCACGCUACAUAUCAUGUGUCGGUGCACCACUACAGGGCAGCAUGUGCUGUGCCACCGAUCGGUCGACAAACCGGCUCGGACUACUUCACAGCAGAUACUUCAAGUGUGUUUAAAGACAGCAAAUACUUCAAGCUGGAGCAGAGUGAUAUCAGCAGAGAAAUAGGAUGGCUGGAUCCAAGCAGCACUCAUCAACAAGAAAUCAGCAACAGAAUAGGGCGGCAAGGCUGCGAAACAAAACAUUCUUGUUAGUGGAGAAGUCAUCAAAAAACCGUAACAAACACAGAAACAAAAGCUUUUUGGUUACAGAGUAUUAUAACAAAUCUUUAAGAGCAGAAAUGAAGAAGUCAUGAACAC